GUGGGGAAUAUUGGACAAUGGGCGAAAGCCUGAUCCAGCAAUGCCGCGUGAGUGAUGAAGGCCCUAGGGUUGUAAAGCUCUUUUACCAGGGAUGAUAAUGACAGUACCUGGAGAAUAAGCUCCGGCUAACUCCGUGCCAGCAGCCGUGGUAAUACGGAGGGAGCUAGCGUUGUUCGGAAUUACUGGGCGUAAAGCGCGCGUAGGCGGUUUUUUAAGUCAGAGGUGAAAGCCCGGGGCUCAACCCCGGAAUUGCCUUUGAAACUGGAAAACUUGAAUCUUGGAGAGGUCAGUGGAAUUCCGAGUGUAGAGGUGAAAUUCGUAGAUAUUCGGAAGAACACCAGUGGCGAAGGCGACUGACUGGACAAGUAUUGACGCUGAGGUGCGAAAGCGUGGGGAGCAAACAGGAUUAGAAACCCCUGUAGUCC
rnacentral:rRNA from 1 species